rnacentral:lncRNA from 1 species
CCUCUUUUGAAUUGAUCAGUGAUCUGAAAAUUGAUAAAAGUAUAAGAUUUUAUGCAAUUGGAACUUGGUAGAUUGAUGAUUGCAUGAAAAUUUAGAUAAACCGUUCUUCAAUUUCACAUUAAAGCCUACAUCUACAGGGAGAGUUGUGAGAUAAUGGUCUCUGAUCAUAAAUAACCUCUCUAAAAAAGCUGGAACCGUGUGUUAUGGAUGUUGCUAAUUAUUUAAUCAAUUGAAUUUUGAAACUGAAGUGUACCUUCGAUUACAGAAAUUGAUCAAUUGGUUUGCAAUUUGCAAGCCAUCUUUCAUAUAUCUUUUGGAGGAAAAGUCCAUCUUAGUUAAAUGCUCACCAGAUUUAUCUCUUUACUAACAAGCAUAGGACUGCUUCUUUUCUAAUUGAGUUUAAAAAAU